GAUGAAGAACGUAGUGAAAUGCGAUACUUGGUGUGAAUUGCAGAAUCCCGUGAACCAUCGAGUCUUUGAACGCAAGUUGCGCCCGAAGCCGUCAGGCCGAGGGCACGCCUGCCUGGGCGUCACACGCCGUUGCCCCCCCCGCGCCCCGCACCCAACUCUUUGGGAGCGACCGCGGGGCGGGCUGAUGAUGGCCUCCCGUGCGCUCCGCCGCGCGGUUGGCCCAAAUACCGAGUCCCCGGCGACGUGCGCCACGACCAUCGGUGGUUGAGAGACCUCUGUCGCAAGUCGUGCGCGCCCGUCGCGUCACGCGGGCUCGCAUAGCGCCUCGCGCCGCACCCGGUGCGGAGCUUUCAACGCGACCCCAGGUCAGGCGGGGUUACCCGCUGAAUUUAAGCAUAUCAAUAAGCGGAGGA
rnacentral:misc_RNA from 1 species